UACGGAGGGGGCUAGCGUUGUUCGGAAUUACUGGGCGUAAAGCGCGCGUAGGCGGACCUGCAAGUCGGGGGUGAAAGCCCGAGGCUCAACCUCGGAACUGCCUUCGAUACUGCGGGUCUCGAGUCCGGGAGAGGUGAGUGGAAUUCCUAGUGUAGAGGUGAAAUUCGUAGAUAUUAGGAAGAACACCCGUAGGCGAAAGCGGCGUCUCUGGAACGGUA
rnacentral:rRNA from 1 species